rnacentral:rRNA from 1 species
UACGUAGGGUGCGAGCGUUAAUCGGAAUUACUGGGCGUAAAGUGUGCGCAGGCGGCCGCGCAAGUCGAGUGUGAAAGCCCCGAGCUUAACUUGGGAAUUGCGCUCGAAACUACGUGGCUGGAGUGUGGCAGAGGAAGGUGGAAUUCCACGUGUAGCGGUGAAAUGCGUAGAGAUGUGGAGGAACACCGAUGGCGAAGGCAGCCUUCUGGGCCAACACUGACGCUCAUGCACGAAAGCGUGGGGAGCAAACGGG